rnacentral:rRNA from 1 species
AGCAGCCGCGGUAAUUCCAGCUCCAAUAGCGUAUAUUAAAGUUGUUGCAGUUAAAAAGCUCGUAGUUGAAUUUCGGGGUCAGUAGAUUGGUCAUGCCUCCGGUAUGCACUGGUCUUACUGGCUCCUCCUUCCUGAUGAACCGUAAUGCCAUUAAUUUGGUGUUGCGGGGANACUGGACUGUUACUUUGAAAAAAUUGGGUNUUUAAAGCAGGCUAACGCUUGAAUACAUUAGCAUGGAAUAAUGAAAUAGGACGUUCGAUCUUUAUUUGUUGGUUUCUAAGAUUGACGUAAUGAUUAAUAGGGAUAGGUUGGGGCUAUUAGUAUUCAAUUGU